UACGGAGGGUGCAAGCGUUAUCCGGAUUUACUGGGUUUAAAGGGUGUGUAGGCGGGCUUUUAAGUCAGCGGUGAAAUCUCCGGGCUCAACCUGGAAACUGCCAUUGAUACUAUUAGUCUUGAAUUUUGUUGAGGUAGGCGGAAUAAGUCAUGUAGCGGUGAAAUGCAUAGAUAUGACUUAGAACACCGAUUGCGAAGGCAGCUUACUAAGCAAAUAUUGACGCUGAGGCACGAAAGCGUGGGGAGCAAACAGG
rnacentral:rRNA from 1 species